rnacentral:rRNA from 1 species
CUGGCGGCGUGCCUAAUACAUGCAAGUCGAACGGUCUUUCUAUGGAAGCUUGCUUCCACUGAGAAGAUAGUGGCGAACGGGUGAGUAACACGUGGGUAACCUGCCCAUAAGAGGGGGAUAACAUCCGGAAACGGGUGCUAAUACCGCAUAGUUUUCUUGAUCGCAUGAUCGGGAAAGGAAAGACGGCCUUUGUGCUGUCGCUUAUGGAUGGACCCGCGGCGUAUUAGUUAGUUGGUGAGGUAAUGGCUCACCAAGACGAUGAUACGUAGCCGACCUGAGAGGGUGAUCGGCCACAUUGGGACUGAGACACGGCCCAAACUCCUACGGGAGGCAGCAGUAGGGAAUCUUCCGCAAUGGACGAAAGUCUGACGGAGCAACGCCGCGUGAGUGAAGAAAGGUUUUCGGAUCGUAAAACUCUGUUGUCAGAGAAGAACAAGUUGGAGAGUAACUGCUCCAGCCUUGACGGUAUCUGACCAGAAAGCCACGGCUAACUACGUGCCAGCCGCUGC